rnacentral:misc_RNA from 1 species
CAUUUUCCCUUCACACUCCACGACGUGUAGCUAGCUGCUGCUGCUGCUCCGCGUGCGUGUGGAGCUCGUGCUGCACGUCGUGAAAGGCAUUGCGAGGGGGACGAUGGCCGUGAUGGAGGUGGGAGUCUCUGAGGAACGAAACAUGGAUUUGUGGAGUCUCAGCGAUGGCCGACACGCUACCCACCGCUUCUCUUUCUUCCUCCUUCCUCCGCCCGAGAUGCUCGCUCCUUUGAGCGAGUGCACCAAGGUGAAGCAGCCAAUCCGGCUAAACAACAGCGGGAGGCGGUGAGGACACAACAUCUGCGUUGGGCACGGAAAAACCAAACCAAACAAGAAAAUCGAAUGCGUCACUGUACAGGCAAAAAGGCAGACGCAGGGCCCAACUAGCGCCCCCCAAACAAACAACAGCCCCACAGCCGCACGCCAGCCACGCACAAAGGCCUGCAAAGACGCGUGCGUGGAUUAGGCAUUGCGGGGCGGCUCCGCCCACCCAACUGCAAGCACGCGCAUUUGCAUGGGGAGGUCUUUCCUUUUUUUUUCCGGUCAUUUGGCUACGACAUGUGUGUGUCUUCCAUCGAAGGCGAAUUCGUGUGUUAGCGUCAGGAAGCCGAAGGAAGGAGCUGCACAAACGAUCGUCACUUCACUGAGCCCCACGCCUCCCCCUAAAAAAGGGAGGGGAGGGGGGGAGGGCGGAAAAUGCGUGUGUCGAUCCGUCUCGGACUGCUUUUUUUUCAUUUCUCUUUCACUUGUAUGUACACAUAUCUGUUCUCCAUUCUCUUUUCAACUCUGUCCCCUGAUGACGGUAAG